GGAAGAGGCAUCUUCUUCGUUGUUGUGAGAACAGUUAUAAUUUAAAUUAGUUUUGCCACACCGCACAAACACUCAGCAGCAAGGAUGGCUCAUUGUUCAAGUGUUUUGGUUCUCCUUCUGGUUUUGAUGAAAUAUCAAAGCACGUUUGCGUUGAAAUGUUACAAAGGGUUCGAACCCUCGUUAAACGCAACGCAAAAUUACGGACUCGAAGAGGAGUGCAAAGAGAAUCCGAUUCUGGCCAAGCGAGGAGUGAGGCUAGCUUGUUACACGAGGAUCAUUACUGAGUCAGGAGACAACAAAAUCAUGCGAGGCUGCGCGAAUGACAUCCAAAUAUGCCAAACGGACGUUAUCUGCUGGUUCUGCGAAAGUCACUUGUGCAACACAAUAGGCAGGAGCUCCACAUUAAACUUAACUAAAUCGUAUCUCCUAUUAGCCAUUUUCCUAUCCUUUAUUACA